GCCGGUUUGGCUCAGUGGACAGAGCAUCAGCCUGCAGAUUGAAGGGUCCUGGUUCGAUUCCAGUCAAGUUGCA
rnacentral:tRNA from 1 species